rnacentral:lncRNA from 1 species
UUUUUUCUUGCAUAAUAACAGUAAACGGAUUCAAAACAAUGUCAAUUUCAAGAAAGCAGGCAACAGUUAAUUAGUCAAUAACAGUAAGCAAAUGAUCUUGAUAUAUGCCACUUUUAACUAAAUAUAAAACAGAAAGACAUCGGAGCACAGAACCAGGACCGUUUUUCUUAUCACCAGCACCGCGUCAGGACAAUUCCGUUAAACGAACUUGCACGACUUUUGCAAUAUAAUAUUGUUGUAAUAUACUUUGCAUGGUACUUAUGACGCAUCAGAGAAAAAUUAAGCAACAAAACAGUCGUUUUAUUGCCGUUCUGAUACAAUGUAAACAAACCCACCAGCACAGAAUCAGGACCCACCAGCACCCGUCAGGACCGAAUCACCAGCACAGUACGUUCUCUCGCAGGACAAC